rnacentral:rRNA from 1 species
UAAGCGUUGGAAACGACGUCUAAUACUGGAUAUGACGGCCGAUCGCAUGGUCUGGUCGUGGAAAGAAUUUUGGUUGGGGAUGGACUCGCGGCCUAUCAGGUAGUUGGUGAGGUAAUGGCUCACCAAGCCGACGACGGGUAGCCGGCCUGAGAGGGUGACCGGCCACACUGGGACUGAGACACGGCCCAGACUCCUACGGGAGGCAGCAGUGGGGAAUAUUGCACAAUGGGCGCAAGCCUGAUGCAGCAACGCCGCGUGAGGGAUGACGGCCUUCGGGUUGUAAACCUCUUUUAGUAGGGAAGAAGCGAAAGUGACGGUACCUGCAGAAAAAGCACCGGCUAACUACGUGCCAGCAGCCGCGGUAAUACGUAGGGUGCAAGCGUUGUCCGGAAUUAUUGGGCGUAAAGAGCUCGUAGGCGGUUUGUCGCGUCUGCUGUGAAAUCCCGAGGCUCAACCUCGGGCUUGCAGUGGGUACGGGCAGACUAGAGUGCGGUAGGGGAGAUUGGAAUUCCUGGUGUAGCGGUGGAAUGCGCAGAUAUCAGGAGGAACACCGAUGGCGAAGGCAGAUCUCUGGGCCGUAACUGACGCUGAGGAGCGAAAGCGUGGGGAGCGAACAGGAUUAGA